GGUUGCGAUCAUACCAGCACUAAUGCACCGGAUCCCAUCAGAACUCCGCAGUUAAGCGUGCGUGGGCGAGAGUAGUACUAUGAUUGGUGACCCACUCGGAAGUCCUCGUGUUGCAAUCCUC
rnacentral:rRNA from 1 species